rnacentral:rRNA from 1 species
AGUGAACGCUGGCGGCAGGCCUAACACAUGCAAGUCGAACGGCCGCACAGUAAGCGCUUGCUCUUACGGGUGGCGACUGGCGGACGGGUGAGGCAUACAUCGCAAUCUUCUUUUUCGUGGGUGAUUACGUAGGGCAACUUACGCUAACACCUCAUACUACCUACGGCUUAAAUCAAGGGAUCUUCGCACCUUUCCUGUCUGUAUUAGCCGAUGUCGGAUUAGCUAGUUGGCGGGGUAAAGGCACACCAAGGCGACGAUACGUAGCUGGUCUGAGAGGAUGAUCAGCCACACUGGAACUGAGACACGGUCCAGACUCCUACGGGAGGCAGCAGUGGGGAAUAUUGGACAAUGGGCGAAAGCCUGAUCCAGCCAUACUGCGUGAGUGAAGAAGGCCUUCGGGUCGUAAAGCCCUUUUGUUGGGAAAGAAAAGCAGCAGGUGAAUACCCCGAUGUUCUGACGGUACCCAAAGAAAAAGCACCGGCUAACUUCGUG